AUUCUGAAGAAUAUUUUCUGUAAUGAAAAUAUGGUAACAAUCUUUCGCAUCGUUACACAUUAAAAAUAUCAGACAACGGAUAGUAAAUCAGAGGGAGGAUUUCACGGACAAACAGUGUGCACGCUACAGCGAUAGAUAACGGAGGCCGAGACCGUUGUUGGCGGAGAACAGGGCAGUUUUAAGGUGCUGAUUUAUCGUGAACACCGUUUAAAGAUGAAAGCAUACUCCGUCGAGAAAUCGUGACUCGUUAAUCGCUACCAUCGUCGAUUUCUUUGACCAGUUAUUAACGAGCCGCUGAAUCGCGUCGAUCCUAUUCCCGGAUGAUCGAGAAAACGUAUGGAUUUUUUUUUAUCCUUUCAUGCGAUAUAAAAAUAAAAAAAUAAAAAAUUCGAAACAAAAUA